AAUAAAUGCAGUUUUUCACUAUUUAUCUCUAACGUUUGACCGUUCGUCUUAUUUAAAUUUUUUUAUAAUUACUAUUUUUAUUGUUAUUAGAUAAUAAAACAUGUAUAAUACUUUAUGUGGGCUAAUUUUUUUUAAAGAAAAUCAUAAAUUUUUUAAAUAAGACGGACGGUCAAACGUUGGACACGAAUUUUCACGGCUGCACUUAUU
rfam:Oryza sativa (indica cultivar-group) chromosome 3, whole genome shotgun sequence.